UUGAGAUGAACGAGGAGGAGACAGCCCUGCUUGGGUGCCGCAGCAAGGGCAGCUGGCAGCACAUCUUCUACAAGCUGCGCUCGGAGGCCAGGAAGCUCGUGCGAUCCAACACUACUCUUCCGACCACACAGGGAUUUAGAAAUUUAUGAGCCUGCAAUGAUCUAUCCGCUUUUGCUGUCAGAAAUCUUCCACUUGACAAGAAGAGAUCCGUAUAGAAUCGAAAUAUCUGAUGCGAGACAAGCCGGUUUACAGUCAGCAAACAGUCUCUCGGAAGAUGAUUUCUUCUGCUAUCAAUCAUGGAAUUGUUCUUUGUGCUACUGUUCUUGUUAUUCUUUUCUGAAGCAAAUAAUAACUGUAAAUGUUUUGUGUGUGACUUAUAGUACUUCCAAGUUGUAUUACUACACAAUUUGUGGUUAAGGAAGACAGGCUUAUGCCAUACUAUCUCA